rnacentral:rRNA from 1 species
AUUGAACGCUGGCGGCAGGCCUAACACAUGCAAGUCGAACGAGUGGCGGACGGGUGAGUAAUGUCUGGGAAACUGCCUGAUGGAGGGGGAUAACUACUGGAAACGGUAGCUAAUACCGCAUACCAUCGGAUGUGCCCAGAUGGGAUUAGCUAGUAUGUGGGGUAAAGGCUCACCUAGGCGACGAUCCCUAGCUGGUCUGAGAGGAUGACCAGCCACACCGGAACUAGGACCCGGUCCAGACUCCUACGGGAGGCAGCGGUAGGGAAUAUUGCACAAUGGGCGCAAGCCUAAUACAGCCAUGCCGCGUGUAUGAGGAGGGCCUUCGGGUUGUAAAGUACUUUCAGCGGGGAGGCGUUACCCGCAGAAGAAGCACCGGCUAACUCCGUGCCAGCCGCCGCGGUAAUAC